UUUUUCCCAUAGUCUGUUUUAUUUAAUAAUUUUUUUUCCAUUAUAGCUGGUUUACAGUGUUCUGUCAAUUUUCUACUGUAUAGUAAGGUGACCCAGUCACACAUACAUGUAUACAUUCCUUUUUCUCACAUUAUCAUGCUCCAUCAUAAGUGACUAGAUAUAGUUCACAGUGCUAUACAGCAGGAUCUCAUUGCUUACCCAUUCCACAGGCAGUAGUUUGCAUCUAUUAACCUCAAAUUCCCAGUCCAUCCCAUUCUCUCCCCCUUGGCAACCACAAGUCUGUUCUCUAUGUCCAUGAUUUUCUUGUCUGUGGAAAGGUUCAUUUGUACCAUAUGUAAGAUUCCAGAUAUGUGAUAUCAUAUGGUAUUUGUCUUUCUCUUUCUGAUUUACUUCACUCGGUAUGAGAGUCUUUAGGUCCAUCCAUGUUGCUGCAAAUGGCAUUAUUUUGUUCUUUUUUAUGACUGAGUAGUUUUCCAUUGUAUAUAUAUAUACCACAUCUUCUUAAUCCAUUCAUCUGUUGAUGGACAUUUAGAUUGUUUCCAUGCCUUGGCUAUUGUGAAUAGUGCUGCAGAGAACAUACAGAUCCAUGUGUCUUUUUCAAGGAAAGUUUUGUCUGGAUAGAUGCCCAAAAGUAGGAUUGCUGGGUCAUAUGGUAGUUCUGUAUAUAGUUUUCUAAGGUUCCAUUUAGUUCCUUGUAAGUCCAUUUUUGGCCAUCAAUGUAAGAUGUAUAGGAAGCCACUGAAAGUUUUGAGCAAAGAAGUGUCAUGGUCUGAGUUACUUUAAUACUCUGAUUUUUGUACUAAGAACAGAACAAGGUGGGACAAAGAUAGAGAAAAGAGACCCUUCUUUCAGAUGCAUAAUACAAGGAAGAUAGGAGAGUAGCUCUAAUAAGAGCAGCAUCUUAUAAGAGUGGAGGUGAUAAUGUAGUCAGAUUAUUGAUACAUUUUGAAAAUAGAACCUCAGAACUUUUGACAUUUGGAAGUGGGCUAUGAUGGAAAGAAGUCAAAGAUAACACCCAAAUAUUUGGAUUGAGCAACUGGGAGAAUCUAAUUUCCGUAUACUGAGAUAAGGUAUGAAUUUUAGUGACUUCAACAUAUACCAUUAAAUAAAUCAUGAGAAUGGACACAAUCAUAGAAAAAAAGAUGUCCUAAAACUCAUCCUUCUGGGGUACUCCAACAUUCAGAGAUCGAGCAGAUGAGGACAAAACCAUAAAAUAGACCGAGAAGGCCAGAAAGGUAGGAAGGAUUGUGGUGUAAUGAAAGUCAAGUUAAGGUGUUUCAAGAAGGGAAUGACUCCUAU
rnacentral:lncRNA from 1 species